CUAGGGGCAUAGUUCAGUGUUUGGUGUGCUCCCAAAUCACCGGCAGAGCACAGAAGAGUGAUUCUGAUUCUGUUAUUCUCAGUCCAGCAUCUGCAUUUUAAACAAGCCCCUAGUCCAUCAAGUUUUGUUGGUCUGUGGACAAUGCCUAAGAAAUGUCUCCAUCCCUUUCCUGGAACCAGAGCAGAAUCAAUGCAAAAGGAAUCUUUUCCUUCCCCGGGACCCCGUGAGUCCUGUGUGGAACCUGGAAAUAGUAAUGGCAUCUAUGUCAAAGUGUGGCCGUGAGGAUUGGACUAGAUAAUGCAUGUAAAGACUCAAAACUUUGCCUGGCCUCUCGAAGGCUCUUAACAAGUGUUAUCUAUUAUUAUUAUGCAGCCUUUUAUACAUAUUGAUUCCUGAGGUACCAACAAGCCACUAACAUCUUCCAACCCUACAAUGCAAGAAGGCCGACAAGAACGUGGUGGGACAGCCCCUGGCUGGCACAGGCAGUGAACUUCUUCCAGACAUCAAGGGUUCCGCCAAAGAAACUUCUCUGCUUUCAAGGAUUCAUAGGAUUAGAUUGGGGUCAUGCAAAUAAUCCAGGAUGAUCCCCCUACCUUAAGUUAUUAAAAGAAAUAGAAGAUCUGAUCCACAGAAACACUGUGAUUGUCGCAGGGAAGCAUAUCCUAGAGGGCAUGCAGGCUAUUGAUAUUCUCUCCUCAAGCCGGCAACUCUCUGGAGAUCCAUGAGAAACACAGAAUCACAACAAAGACUGGAAAACAAAUGGAUGGAAUCAGAGACGGUUGCAGACACGUAAAUAGCUUUUCACGCUGUUGCCAUUUCAGUUUGAAUUCUACUUUAGUUUUGCAAAUUGAUGGGGGGGAAAAUCUAGUUUUUAUUUCAGUGUGUUUAACUUUUCAGUUAAAGACCAAAGAGUAGGUUUCUACACUCGAAAUGGUUCCUUUUGGUUGCUUUAUUAAAAAUCACAAAGCUCCUUCCCCCCCCAAAAAAAGAGGCCCAUUCGUUAUAUUGCAACGUUAAGAGCAAAAUCAAAGGAGAAUGUGUGACUUUCUUUGCACAGAAGUUUUAAUAUUUUCAUAAGGAUCCUCUCUUCGGCUCCUCAAGCAUUUGCCUUUCAUUUUGUUUUAUUGAAUUAGGCUGCAAAGCACUCGAGCAUGAAACUCUUUGUCAUCUCUAACCAGGCUUCCAUUGAUUCCACGUAUCCAUAUGCCUCGUCUUGGUAUAUUAAUCUAUACAUCUAUUGCACUGAAAGAGAGAAUUCUCUAAUUUAUUAUGUAAAAGGAUAAGCCAACUCCAGAGCCCAUUUGCAUGCAGGUAUGCUUAAAAGUAGAUUUGUUUCCUCAGACUUAGAGCUG